rnacentral:rRNA from 1 species
UACGUAGGGUGCGAGCGUUAAUCGGAAUUACUGGGCGUAAAGCGUGCGCAGGCGGUCUGUUAAGACCGAUGUGAAAUCCCCGGGCUUAACCUGGGAACUGCAUUGGUGACUGGCAGGCUUUGAGUGUGGCAGAGGGAGGUAGAAUUCCGCGUGUAGCAGUGGAAAUGCGUAGAUAUGCGGAGGAACACCGAUGGCGAAGGCAAUCCCCUGGACCUGUACUGACGCUCCAUGCACGAAAGCGUGGGGAG